rnacentral:tRNA from 1 species
GGCUUGGUAGCUCAGUUGGUCAGAGCAUUGUCCUAAAAUGGCAAGAUGAUGGGUUUGAUUCCCAUUCAGGGCA